CUCUCUCUCCUCCUCCCUUGCUCACGUCCUCCCUCUCUCUCUCUCUCUCAAAAGAAUAACAAUAAUAAGGAAAUAUGAGUUUCCCCCCAGCAAAUCAAGGGGGAAGGUUUAAGAACACCCGGUGCUGACGAGAACACAGUAGAACAUGUAGAACACAGUAGAACACAGUAGCACUAUUUUUCAGUGCUAAGGGGAUUGUGAAUUGGUGUAACCUAUUUGAAAAGUAGGACAAUAGUCAAAGAGAAGGAGAGAGGUGAACGUUUCAAGAAAGGGCAAGUAGCCUAUGUAUUUAUACAACAUGUAUUGUCUUCUUUGUCUUCUGUUGUCUUCAGGCAUGGUGCUAGGUGUUAAAAUAUGAAGAUAAAUAAGAUAUGGCAUAUCUUGGGCAUAUGGUCAAAGAGUUAAGACACACAGAUACUAAAAUGAUGUGUAGUAAGAAGGCCAGAGAUGUGCUUGAGACGUGGGCAAAGCAGGGAGCAGCUGGGAUGGGUGGUACAUAUGUGAGGCUUUCUGGGAGGAUCUGGGGGGCUCCUAGAAGAGCCGCCCAGAUGAACAGGAGUUAGUCAGAGGGCAGAGCAAAAGUAAGCAUCAUGGACGAGCUCAUGGACAGUUCAGGGUCACCAGAGCAUGAGAGUAAGGAACAGGGGAUGGAGAAGGUGGGACCAGAUCGCACAGUGCCAUGUCUGUCUAACUGAAGACUUGGUUCUUUUUCCUCUUGACAAGAGUGGGCCUCUGAAGCAUUUUGAGCAGGCGGGUGCCAUGGUCAGAUUUCUGUUUUAGGGUGGUUACUCUGAUUGCUUGGAGACAUUUGGAGGGGCAAAGGCUAAUGAGGGGAUGAUCGCCUUGGUCCAAGUCAGAGGGCAAGGCCUGAAUUAGGUCUGGGCCAAGAGGAUGGAGAGAAGGUAGAAUUAGAGAAACCUGCUGACUGACUGGUGGCUGAGUUAAAGAAGGAGAGUCAAGGAUGCCUUCCCUGUUUCUGUCUUGAGUGACUGCAUGGAUGGGAGAAUACCCCAGAGAAAGGACAGACUUAGGGGCUGGAGGAGGGCUGUCGAGCUCAGUUUUGGACAGGUUGAGUGAAAGGUGUGCGUCCCGGUGGAGGUGGCCUACAAGGGGCUAGGUGGAAGGUUUGGAUCCAGCAGAUUUAACAGAAAAUUUGGUUUAUAACUGAUUGUGACUGUAGCCGUGGGCUUUGGUGAGCUGGGCCUUGGAGAAAUGGCAGCUAAGAAGAGAAAGGGAUCCAGGCGGAGAACCUAUCCCCCAGGUAAGGGGUGGGCAGAGAGAAAGAUGAGCCCACGAAGGCAAGAAGUCAGAAAGAGGUGGAAGAAGCACCUGAAGCCUGUGUUGGCAAGCCAACUCAGGGAUGUGGAGUAUUUCCAGGAGGGAACACUCAACAGAAAACAGAGAAAAGCCAGUUAGAUAAAGACUGAGAGCUCACUGCAUGGAAUGACUACGGGCCCCUAGAUCCUCACAGGGGCAGUUUCCUGUGAGAAACGGGGCAGAAGCCCCGCAAGGGGAGCGGAAUAAAAUGAAAGAGGAAGGAAAAGCCGACUGCAUGGCCCCGUGUCCAGAGAAGUCUGGGAUACUGGGAAGAAGUGCUCGAGUUACGAUUUGGGUUAAGGAGAAUCUCGGAGCUGGGCCGAGAGGAAAUAAGGAUAGAUACGACAGAAGAGAGGUCGAAAGGGCUGUCGCCUAAUGAGCUUCUGUCUGUAGAAAUCAGAGGUGAGAUCUAAGGACAAGGUCAGUAGGGAAGAAAAAGGUCCAGUGAUGACCUUGACUAGAGCUGCUGUCAAGUAGGAGGAUAUAUAUGCCAGCUGGGAGCCCACAGAGGAAGUGUGGGCAUGUCCUGGGGGGACAGAUGGAGAACUCGGGAUGAGGUGGAAGGAGAAGGUGCAGAGUUCACAGGGCAGGGCCAGACACUGAGCCGUGACUGACACUUUAGGAAUGGAUGCAGGCAGAGGACCUGCCAAGGAGACUGAGCAGGAGGGGCUGAAGGAGAAGACCAGAAAAGCAGUGGUCCCAGAAGCCCAGGGAGCUGAGAGUUCCCACAGGUCAGGGUGGCUACUGGUGGACCAGAUGCACAGAGGUCAGGGGAGAUGAGGGCAUCCCCCAGACCUGGUCUUGGGCACCUUUGCCGCAGCAACUUUGGGGGAGGGACCAGGAGCCCGCCAGCUGGGGGAUGAUCUGGAGUCUGGCUGAGAAAGCGAGAGGAAGGAGGGGAACCUGGGGGGGUGGGCAGCAGGGCUCAGGAAGGUGCUGUGUCUUACCCGCUGUCAUUUGGACAGAAGAGGGCUAUGGGAGCCGAGUUUGAAGGGCAGCAACGAGUUUGAAGGGCAUGCAAGGGGCCCCAGAGCGGCGGGAUUAAGUGUAGAUGGGAAGGGAUUAGCCGUGUUGGUGGAAAGGGGCAAAAUUAAAUCAUGUACAUUUUACAAGGUAAGCUGAUCUCCAUGUUCUUCUGGAGGCUUUUGCUCUGCUCUCUGGGUAACGACUACAGCUCUAAUUAGCAGUGGUUUCAUCCUGCCUGUGUCUGGGGCCAUGUCUUCCUCGGUUUUUGUACCUUUCGGCACCUAGCAACAGGCAGCGAGCUAGGUAGAGGCAGACUCAUUAUUUUCCGCUUGAAAUCAAACGUCUGAAAUUGAGGUUCAGAAUUCUGUUUCAUCACAGAGAUUUUGUGACAAUUCCCAGGGAAUCCAUGAACAAGGAAAUGCAGUUCAAGGUUGAGGCUGUCAUGGAUGUGAGACUGUCUGUGUCCCAGUAAAUGCAAGCUGUACUCCUCUGUGGGCACAGCUCUUUACAGUUUACAUGGUGGAUCAUUACAUUUGUCUCCUUUGGUCAUCGCAACCCUAUCCUCCCACCUCUGGUGAGGCACACAGCUACCAUUAGCCCCAUGUCACUUAGGAAAUUGAGACCAAGAGAGGCAGGCUGGAAGGAGAGAGUGAUGGGCAGUGAAGUGAAUGGAGACUGGGCACAAUCCUGAAUGCUACAUGCACAGCCCACCAGCACGCAGUGGUUGUAUCUCCUAGACAUGGAGUCAUUCUCUUUCCUUCAUAUUUGAACGGGAGUCAAAAAUCAAACAGAGCUCUGGUCUAACCGGCUGAGCUCUGGCCUAGUGCCACCGCUGACAACACCUGGCUUUUGUGUACAGGAGCAGACCAGGUCCCACCAUAGCCAUAUAAACUAGAGAACAGGACAUUUCCCUACAUGUAACAAGGGGAGUGAGGAGGAAUGAGGGACUCCAGAAAGCCCAAACCCCGAGACAUCCAUUACGUGAAGUAACCAGCCCAGAGACAGAGAGAGAGAUCUGAUAGAAAGCCGUGGUCCAGGGGAGAGACAGAGGGGCCUGAACUGGACCAGUGAAGACAGACAGAAAUAGAUCAGAAACUUGUAGUAGCUAAAACCCAGAAAUAAUUGGUGUAGGAUUCACUCUUAGGUAAAAGACGGCAAAGAUGAGGGUGACUCCCGUGUGUCUGGGUGGGCCCUGGGUAGGUGGGGGGGGGAAGGCCCCUGUGUAUGAGGAACACAGCAUGGAGAGCCAGUGUGAGGGGCAGGACAGUGGACUCAGAUACAGCCAAGGGGUCAGGGUCACAGCCAAGUAGAGCCCAGCAGGCACUUGGAUCCGGGGUCUGGAGCUUAGGAAGAGAUUGGACUGGAAGUACUGGCCCAGGCACAUGGCUAUUCAGAGAGUAAUGGGAAGCCUGAGAAUGAGUGAGAUCAUCAGAGACAGAAUGGGACAGGGCCCAGGGCAGAAUCAUGAGGUACAGUGACCUGUGAGGAAUCAGUCAAGGUGUGAGCAGGUGACAAAGGAAAAGAGAAGGAAGGACCUCAGAGAUGUGGACAAACAACUACGAGGGGGGUUGCCAGGGCAACCAAGGUAGUGAGGCAUUCCAGGGAGAAAGUAAUCAACAUUGUCAAACACAGCAGAGAAUUCCAAAAAAGACGGACUUUUUUUUUCCUUUGAUCUCAUUAUUAGUAAGUUUUUGUUGACCUUAAUAAAAGCAUUUUGGGGGAGUAAUAGGGCAUAAACUGAACUAAUGUUCAGAUGUGAGGGGGAGGUGAUUCUGUCACUAAGAGCCCUUUGAGGAGUCUGGAAGGGAGACUUGGAGAGGUGAAGGAUUAGGGGCAGAGAGUUUGAGCGUGGGAAAGAUAUGAGCAAGUUUAUAGGCAGACAUCAGCUCCCAGAUGCAACAAGCAUUGUUGAGUGACACAAUUUUUUCAUUCUACAUGUUCUAAUUUAAUGCCUAUUAUGUGCCUGGCAGAGUGCCUAGCAGUGUGGAUAUUUGGUAAAUGAAUUAGAAUCCCUGUUCCCAUGGAAGUUGUGCGGUAGGAGAGGAAAAAGACAGGAAUGAAAUAAUGGGCACACAUCGAUAUGCAACAUGAAUGGGCACUCUGAAGGAGAGGAACUAAGUGUUGGAGGGUGUCCAACAAGGGGACCUGUCCUAGGCUGACUCCAGGAGCCUUCCCUGUGGAGGCGACACUUGAACCAAGUUGUUCAGAAGGGAAAGGAGUUAAGUGGACAGAGUAAACUGGGGAAAAGCAUUCUGGGCAGAGGGAACAGCCUGUGCAAAAGGAGAAGAGGUGAGACCAGAAAGCCAGGCAGUGCUGGUUGAGCAGGCUUUUGGAAGCCAGGACUGAGACCUGCUCUGGUAUGUCACUGUCAUCUGAGACUGGCUAUGCUAUGGAGAAAUCAGAAGGAGCACAAGGAGACUUAGGGAGACCAGUUAAGAAGUGUUUGGGUCAUGGUAGACAGAAUUUAGACAGUCAACAUAAUCUGGUUAGUCUUGGUGCUGAUGGAAUGAAGUAGGGCAGGGAGAGGAGGAGGGAUUCAGAAUGACCCCUGCAUUUCUGGCUUGCCAUACAGAUGAGGUGGCAGUGCCAUUCUCAGAAUUGGAAAGUCCUAAAAAGGGACAGGGUCUGUGAGGCCGACCCCAACUCUGGUAGUACACAGCUAAGACAUCCAAGUGGAGAUGGGAAGGAAGUGGCUGAAUACAUAUAUCCAGAGCAUAGAGUGAGAAAUUACAGAGAUGGGCUCAGAGCUCCUGAGGGAUCCCAAAUGUGAAUUAAAGCAGUGUCAGGUUUCUGGAACAUUCUGAGGCUAUGAAAGGUGGCUGAGGAAGAAGAGGCCUGAAAUGGUGCCCAAGAAGCACCAACACUUGGGAGCUGUAAAAGGAAAGAAGAAUCCUCCUAGGGCACUGAAGAGAAAGGACCAGGGAGGCCUUUCAAACCAGAAGGAUGACGUGGUCAGCAGAGAGGUCAGGUGUGGGGGGGUGGCUGAUCUGUGGGCCCCUCUCAUGUCCAACUGCCCAGUUGCCACGGUGGCCCUGAUGAUCAGCACCCACCAGGGCCCAUGCUCUGAGACCUUUUGGGGACUUUGACCAAGACUCUUAAGGAAGAGGGAACAAAUUCUAAGGCCUUUUCAUUUUAAUCUUAAAGGAGAGCAAUGCUGGUGUAUGAAUAUUCUGAGCGAAGCAAGCCUGAGUGAUGAAGCGAUUAAGGGCAGAGACAAUUAGCGUGAAAUGAGCUCCCGAAGGGGCCGGGAUCAAGUCCAGUGGUGGAUAAAUUCAUUGGGGGCCGUAAUGUGUAUUGGACCAAAUGGGGCAAAAUGAAAUUAUUUACCUUUUAGAGAGUGACUUGAUCUCCAUGUUCUUUUGGGAGCUUUAAUCUGACCUGUGUACUGACUAUAGUGCUAAUUAAGUCAGUUUUAUCCUGUCUUGUGGCUGGGAUUGUGUCUUCGUUUUCUUGUUUCUCAGCACCUAACGACAGGCAAUAAGCAAUUUGGGUGCAAAUCUGGUAUUUUCUGCUUUGGGAUCAAAUAUCUGAAGUCAACACUCAAACUCUCUGACCAAAGAGAAUAUGUGACAAUUCUCCAGAAGUUACAAUGCAGGAAAGAACUGGGGCAUGAAGUCAUGAGGUUUGGGUGAGUGGAGGGAAAGCGGAGGUACCAGCUCCCCUCAUCCUUUUAAGCUCUGUGCCAUUUGUGUAUAUUCGCAUUCCUCAUCCCAACUGAACCUCACAUCCCCCCACAAGAUAAAGCAUGACCCAAUUUCAGAGAGGAGGAAACAGACGCCAGAGGAGGAAGUGCCUUACUGACACAGAGCACAAGUGGCGGGAGCUAGAUUCAGAACUCAGUGCAGCUAGUGUAACAGUCCUUCCCACGACCAGGCUGAGCCAGAGAGAAAGAGGGAGAGAGGGGGUCCAGGAGCCAGAGGUAGAGAUGCUCUGCGGGCACGUGCAGAGGGGUGGACGCGCAGUCCAACUCCAGACCUACCGGAUAUUAAAGCAUCAAAUCCAACCGCAGUGAUGAAAUCUACAGUGUGAGAACAAGAGCGAGGAGCGUUCUUGUUUAAACUUCCCCACCGCAUGAAUGAUAUGUACAUUCUCUAUUUGCAUCUCAAGCUUCCGUAUUCUUAAAAACUUAAGUCUUUAAUCCAUCUGAAAUGUAUUUUUGCGUAUGGUGUGACACAGAGAUCUGAUCUGAUCUUUUUCCAGAUGGAUAACCAGCUUGCUAAGCACCAUUUAUUGUCCCAACACCAUCUUUUCUCCCAGUUCCCUAUGUCUAGACUCUAUUCAGAUCUGUUGAUCUGUUCGUCUACUUCUGGGCCAAUACCAGACUUGAAUGAGCAGAGCUUUCUCUUACUGCCUGAUAAGACAUGGUGUGUACACACCGGAGGUAUAGCUUGUUGAAGCUGGCGACUGGAGGCCAUAACCGAUUAUACCACGUGGAGGAAAGCUCAACUCAAACCUGUUCAGGCAGAGGGAGAACUCAGUUGGCUUCUAUAACCAAACCAUGGACCAGGCUGGGCCUCUAGGUCCCCUGGAGCCAGGGACUGGGCCAUCAGACCCUCCGUCUCGUCUCCAGGCUGCCCCAUCACAUGGCCUGCCAACCUCCUUCUCUCGGGUCUGCUGCUUCCACAUGCUCUGCAAGUCUCCCUUCCUUCAGGUCCUGACCAAAAAGAGACCCAGGUGGAAGUGCAGAAGUUUGGUUCGAAGGUCUCACUCGAGGGCGCCUGGCUGGCUCAGUGGGUUAAGCGUCUGCCUUCAGCCCAGAUCAGGAUCCCAGGGUCGUGGGAUCGAGCCCCACAUGGAGCUCCCUGCUCAGCGGGGAGCCUGCUUUCCCCUCUCCUCAUAUUCCUCCCCACAUGCUCUAUCUCGCUCUCUCACUCUCUCUCUCAAAUGGAUGAAUUAAAUCUUUAUUAAAAAAAAAAAAAUGACUCACUUGGGUCAGUGCUUCUAGCUGCCCGCUCUUUUGUCCAGUUGCUCUGUCCUCAGUGCCCUUGUCUGUGGACACCCACAUUCAUAAUAACAGCACCCGCCUUAUCAGCACCAGAGCAUUGGGAGGGUCGAAGAAGAUGAUGCCUGUGAAGGGCUUAGCCGGGGCCUGGCGUGGAAUGAAUGCUCCAUAAAUGUUAGGAGCUAUCUCUGCUCCCAAGUUAAACAAUCUGGAACAGGUUCUGAUUGGCCCAGCCUAAGUUAGGGGCUCAGUCACCCCUGGCUAAUCAGUGAUGGCCAAUAAGGUGAAUCCCAUUCCAAACAGAGAGGUUGGAGUGCAGAGUGACUAACCAGGAGAGAGGGUGCUGGUCUAGGGAAAGAAACCAACAGAUGUAUCCUGUCAAUCCUUCUGGUGUCUGCAGAAAAGGGUUUGACUCGGGCCCCGUAAGCCUGGAGGGAGGGAGGAUACCUAAGAGGAGGCCACCACAGUUGUCCCUGAGAAGUGUUGCAGGCCUGAGCUAAAGUGUGGCUGGAGAGCAGGUGGAUUCAAGAGAGGUUGUGGAGGUAGAACUAGGGAGCCUGGUGCCAAAGGAACACGAGCAGUGGGAGAGAACAAGAGGUUGAAGGGCACCCCUGGCUGCUGACCCAGAAACUGCCACAGACAGAGCCUGGCCAGAGUAUAGCUUUAUUUCUCCAGGACUCAAGUUCCUUCUACCACCCCGCCCCUUUCUGAUCAGCAGCAAAAACUUACUCUUAGUUCAAGGUAAAUGCAAUCACUUCUGGACUUGACCUAAGUCUCUCUUAAGCAAAUUCUUGAUCUACUUCCAGCUUUUCUGCUUCCCACUACUCCUUCCCUUCUCCCUGAGAGUGGUCUUUGUUCUGGGAUCCCCUAUUUUGCCCUGGUACUGGGGUGUGCAUCUGAUCCUGGAAGACCAGGAUCUCUCCGCGGCCAUCCACUGAGCCAAGACAGCCCCGCUGAGUCCUUGUCCCAACCAGAAAGCAGUCCCCCACUUCCCUGUACCCUCACCAUCCUCACCUUGCUAUAGGGAUACACAGGACCCAGGGGGACACCCCCAGACCCAUCUGUCAGGGCCUAACCCCAAAGCUCUCAACUUCUCCAGCCCAAGCUUUGGGGGACUGGGGAGGUUGGUCUUCUGGGCAACACCAUAAAGAGCCAGGCAACAAGUCUUUCUACUCUUUUACUGCUUUGGGGAGAUCUAGUAUCUACCAUUAGUGAUGUGUCCAUAUGACUCUCCUCACGAGCUAGCAAAACUUUUAUUUCCCUUCAGGCAGAAAGACAGCUUCCACAUUCUUCCCUACUUGCUGUUCGUGACAUCAGUGUCAACUUCUGAGCCCCUCGGGUUCUUUUCUCUUUACAAAAAGAUAACCAAAUGCCCUGUCUCUGCUGUAGGUUUCAAGAGACUAUUUGAAACCCUUGACUGUCUUACCACAUUCCUACUAUAGCAACCCCUGUCCCCCACCAAAACUCCAACUGUAGCAAGAGAAAGUGACCAUGGCCACCAUCAUUUCCUGCCUUCCCUAUAUAUACACACUAUUCCUCACGUCAAGAGAUGGAGUCCACUUUUGCUGCCUAUGAACCUGGGCUGGCUUUAGUGACUUUUUGACCAAUAGAAUGUAGCAGAAGGGAUGUUCUGAGACUUGGGAGACCAGGUCAUCAGAAGCUGUGUAGCUUCCACAAAGGACUCUUGAAAUACUUGGUCUUGAGACACUCCCUCUUGCCACCCACCUGCCACGCUACGAGAAGCCCAACCCGGGUGGUGAAUCCACAUGAGGGCACCCAGUCCAUAGCCCAGGUCAGCCGUGUGAGGGAGACUUCCUGCACAGUGAGCCCCCCUGAGCCUCGAGGACUCUAGUCUGGCUACCAUCCAACUGCAGCCACAGGGAGACUUGAAGCAAGAACCACCCAACUGAGUCCUGUCAACCCCCAGAGCCAUGAGAAAUAAUAAAUUGUAUUUUUUAAGCCACUAGAGUUUGGGGUCAUUUGUCAUGCAAAACAGUGACAGGCAACGAAAUGGGAGGUAAGCAUGUUGAAGAGUUAUGUAACAGAUGAUCCUACUACACAGCACUUAAACAGACCAUUAUACAGUAUGGUAAAUGCAGUAAUGGAACAUAGCUUUGCACAGAGCUUUCCAGCGGAGGUGACAACUGGCCUGACUUCCUAAAGACGAGCAGGAUGAGCAAGGUAGAAGGGACAGGAAGGACAUUCCCAGCAAGGGAAA